rnacentral:rRNA from 1 species
AACGCGAAGAACCUUACCCAGGUUUGACAUGGGGAGGGCGGCCCGUGAAAGCGGGCUUCCCCUCGGGGCCUCCCCACAGAUGCUGCAUGGCUGUCGUCAGCUCGUGCCGUGAGGUGUUCGGUUAAGUCCGGCAACGAGCGCAACCCGUGCCGCCAGUUACCAUCGGUUGAAGCCGGGGACUCUGGCGGGACCGCCCGUGUCAAGCGGGAGGAAGGCGCGGAUGACGUCAAGUCCGUAUGGCUCCUACGCCUGGGGCUGCAAACGUGCUACAAUGGCCGGUACAAUGGGAUGCGAGGCGGCGACGCCGGGCGGAUCCCCAAAGCCGGCCCCAGUUCGGACUGCAGUCUGCAACCCGACUCCAUGAAGCUGGAUUCGCUAGUAAUCGCGCAUCAGCCAUGGCGCGGUGAAUACGUUCCCGGGUCUUGUACACACGC